CUAAAAUCAAAAUCAUCAGCCUCUAACAGCUCUGGGAGGGAAGCCUCAGAGGGCUGGAUCUCUAUUAGGUCAUGAAUGACCAUUGUUGACUCUGGCUUGCCCAACAAGUUGAGCCCAGGUGUUAGAGCGCAUCUUCAUUCAGAGUACUUACAGAAGUCCCCCUCUUCGGGGGCAUGAAGAAUGGCUGUUUCUUAUACUCCUGGUUGUCAUUGAGGACACCAAAGCUUGAGAGGACACUGCACACAAACUCGCGUUCGCAGCUCUGCCUUGACCACUUACUACACCGUGAGCUUGGGUGGAAGGCUUCACUUCUGGGAGCCUCCGAUGCUUUCUGUAAAAACAGAGCUCCCCAGCAGGUAGCCACAGCUGCUAUAUGCUCAUGUUACAAAGUCCGGUAUAUUGACCAUCAGAUGGAGAAGUGAUUUCCAGAAUACAUGAAAGACUUAAAACACACACACACACACACACACACACACACACACACACACACACACCCUAAACAUCAAGAAAAGAAACAACUUAAUCUAGAAAUUGGCCACGGAUCCGAACAGAGAACGAGGGCUAGUAAACAUCUUCAACUGUGUUCAACUUCUACAGCCAUGAGCAAAGUACAAAUUAAAGCUACUCUGAGAUGGU